rnacentral:rRNA from 1 species
UACGAAGGUCCCAAGCGUUGUUCGGAAUCACUGGGCGUAAAGGGAGCGUAGGCGGCGUGGUAAGUCAGAUGUGAAAUCCCGGGGCUCAACCCCGGAACUGCAUCCGAUACUGCCAUGCUAGAGGAUUGGAGAGGUAGCUGGAAUUCUUGGUGUAGCAGUGAAAUGCGUAGAGAUCAAGAGGAACACGCGUGGCGAAAGCGAGCUACUGGACAAUUCCUGACGCUGAGGCUCGAAGGCUAGGGUAGCGAAAGGG